GGUCUGCGAGGCGCCCACGCCGGCCUGCAAGCCCGCGGGACCGGCCCGACCGAGCCGCCGCCAUGAUCAUCCCCGUGCGCUGCUUCACCUGCGGCAAGAUCGUCGGCAACAAGUGGGAGGCCUACCUGGGGCUGCUGCAGGCCGAGUACACCGAGGGGGACGCCCUGGAUGCGCUGGGCCUGAAGCGCUACUGCUGCCGCCGCAUGCUGCUCGCCCACGUGGACCUGAUCGAGAAGCUGCUCAAUUAUGCACCCCUGGAGAAAUAGCUGUGCUGACUACGGGCAGGGGUUGUCUUGCCCAGAACUCACGAAACAGGGGUGUCGGGGAGCUGGGAGCAGUGCCUGAGCACAGCCAUGUGGGCUUGUGUCUCCACUCUGGAAGGCAUCAGCCAGUAAAGGUCUUUGCAGAAC